rnacentral:miRNA from 19 species
AGCUGAUGUUGUUAUUAUUGUUACGGGCAUUCGUGUGCUGGUGAACUCCUUCAUGCACAAGUGCGGCUCUUCGCGCACCAGCUUUAAGGGGUUCACUGGUAUAUGAAUGCACAUGGCAUGAUCUGAUCACGGGAG